rnacentral:rRNA from 1 species
GAUGAACGCUGGCGUCGUGCCUAAUACAUGCAAGUCGAGCGAACGGACGAGAAGCUUGCUUCUCUGAUGUUAGCGGCGGACGGGUGAGUAACACGUGGAUAACCUACCUAUAAGACUGGGAUAACUUCUGGAAACCGGAGCUAAUACCGGAUGAUAUUUUGAACCGCAUGGUUCAAAAGUGAAAGACGGUCUUGCUGUCACUUAUAGAUGGAUCCGCGCUGCAUUAGCUAGUUGGUAAGGUAACGGCUUACCAAGGCAACGAUGCAUAGCCGACCUGAGAGGGUGAUCGGCCACACUGGAACUGAGACACGGUCCAGACUCCUACGGGAGGCAGCAGUAGGGAAUCUUCCGCAAUGGGCGAAAGCCUGACGGAGCAACGCCGCGUGAGUGAUGAAGGUCUUCGGAUCGUAAAACUCUGUUAUUAGGGAAGAACAUAUGUGUAAGUAACUGUGCACAUCUUGACGGUACCUAAUCAGAAAGCCACGGCUAACUACGUG